UACGAGGAGCGCAGGCAGUGGGGAAUAUUGGACAAUGGGCGCAAGCCUGAUCCAGCCAUACCGCGUGGGUGAAAGGCCUUCGGGUUGUAAAGCCCUUUUGUUGGGGAAAGAAAUCCAGCCGGCUAAUACCUGGUUGGGACCGGUACCAAAGAAUAAGCACCGGCUAACUUCGUGCCAGCAGCCGCGGUAAUACGAAGGGGUGCAAGCGUUACUCAGAAUUCCUGGGCGUAAAGCGUGCGUAGGUGGUCGUUUAAGUCCGUUGUGAAAGCCCUGGGCUCAACCUGGGAACGCAGUGGAAUGCUGACCAGAAGUGUGGUAGAGGGUGGCGGAAUUCCUGGUGUAGCAGUGAAAUGCGUAGAGAUCAGGAGGAACAUCCUGGCGAAGGCAGCUACCUGGACCAACACUGACACUGAGGCACGAAAGCGUGGGGGAGCAAACAGGAUUACAGAUACCCCCGUAGUCCGAGGUUCUAUCAAUAUGUUUUGCCCAGCAAUACGUAACUUCGCCAUGGCGCUUCGUUCAGUUACGUAUUGCUAUCAAGGUAGUAACAGGGUUCGAUCAUGUCCAGAUUGAACGCUGGCGGGAUGCUUUACAUGCAAGUCGAACGGCAGCACGGACUUCGGUCUGGUGGCGAGUGGCGAACGGUGAGUAAUGUAUCGGAACGUGCCUAGUAGCGGGGGAUAACUACGCGAAAGCGUAGCUAAUACCAUAUACGCCCCUUCCGAGGGGAAAACGGGACCUUCUGGGCCUCUUUUAUAUUAAAACGACCGAUAUCGGAUUAGCUAGUUGGUGGGGUAACGGCUCACCAAGGCGACGAUCCGUAGCUGGUUUUGAGAGGACGACUAGCCACACUGGGACUGAGACACGGCCCAGACUCCUACGGGAGGCAGCAGUGGGGAAUUUUGGACAAUGAAGCCUGAUCCAGCCAUCCGCGUGUGCGAUGGUGCCUGGGACGUAAACACUUUGGCAGGAAAGAAACGGCCUGGGAUAAUACCCCGUGCAAUGACGUACCUGCAGAAUAAGCACCGGCUAACUACGUGCCAGCAGCCGCGGUAAUACGUAGGGUGCAAGCGUUAAUCCGGAAUUACUGGGCGUAAAGCGUGCGCAGGCGGUUCGGAAAGAAAAGAUGUGAAAUCCCAGAGCUUAACUUUGGAACUGCAUUUUUCUUCCACCGAAAAGCUGAGUGUGUCAGAGGAGGUGGAAUUUGCGUGUAGCAGUGAAAUGCGUAGAUAUGCGGAGGAACACCGAUGGCGAAAAGGCAGCCUCCUGGGAUAACACCAGCGCUCAUGCACGAAAGCGUGGGAGCAAACGGGAUUAGAUACCCUGGUAGUCCACGCCCUAAACGAUGUCAACUAGCUGUUGGGGCCUUCGGGCAUGGUAGCGCAGCUAACGCGUGAAGUUGACCGCCUGGGAAGUACGGUCGCAAGAUUAAAACUCAAAGGAAUUGACGGGGACCCGCACAAGCGGUGGAUGAUGUGGAUUAAUUCGAUGCAACGCGAAAAACCUUACCUACCCUUGACAUGUCUGGAAUCCCGAAGAGAUUUGGGAGUGCUCGCAAGAGAACCGGAACACAGGUGCUGCAUAGCUGUCGUCAGUUCGUGUCGUGAGAUGUUGGGUUAAGUCCCGCAACGAGCGCAACCCUUGUCAUUAGUUGCUACGAAGGGCACUCUAAUGAGACUGCCGGUGACAAACCGGAGAAGGUGGGGAUGACGUCAAGUCCUCGUGGCCCUUAUGGGUAGGGCUUCACACGUCAUACAAUGGUCGGGACAGAGGGUCGCCAACCCGCGAGAGGGAGCCAAUCCCAGAAACCCGAUCGUAGUCCGGAUCGCAGUCUGCAACUCGACUGCGUGAAGUCCGGAAUCGCUAGUAAUCGCGGAUCAGCAUGUCGCGGUGAAUACGUUCCCGGGUCUUGUACCGCCCGUCACACCAUGGGAGUGGGUUUUACCAGAAGUAGAUUCGCUAACCGUAAGGAGGGCGAUUACCACGAUGGAUUCAUGACUGGGGUGAAGUCGUAACAAAGUACAG
rnacentral:misc_RNA from 1 species